AACGGCCGCGGUAUCCUGACCGUGCAAAGGUAGCAUAAUAACUUGUCAUUUAAAUCAUGACUAGAAUGAAUGGCAAAACGAAAACUUAACUGUCUCCCUUAUUUAAUCAAUAAAACUGAUCUUCUUGUACAAAAGCAAGAAUAAAAAUAUAAGACGAGAAGACCCUAUGGAGCUUUAAAUAAAUUAUUAUCUGUAAUAACAAUUACAGCCCUAAUUAAUUAUUUUAGGUUGGGGCGACCACGGAGCACAAAAAACCUCCGAGAAAGCAACUUAGAAAACACACCAAAGUAAUAAAACAUUUUAAAUAAUUGACCCAAUAAAAUUGAUCAACGAACCAAGUUACCCUAGGGAUAACAGCGCAAUCUUCUCUAAGAGUCCAUAUCGACGAGAAGGCUUACGACCUCGAUGUUGGAUCAGGAUACCCAAACAGU
rnacentral:rRNA from 1 species